rnacentral:rRNA from 1 species
UACGUAGGGUCCGAGCGUGUCCGGAGUUACUGGGCGUAAAGCGCGCGCAGGCGGCUCGUCAAGUCUGGCGUGAAAGCCCCCGGCUCAACCGGGGAGGGUCGUCGGAGACUGGCGAGCUUGAGGGCGGUAGGGGCUGGUGGAAUUCCCGGUGUAGUGGUGAAAUGCGUAGAGAUCGGGAGGAACACCCGUGGCGAAGGCGGCCAGCUGGGCCGUCCCUGACGCUGAGGCGCGAAGGCGUGGGGAGCGAACGGG